rfam:Medicago truncatula strain A17 chromosome 4, whole genome shotgun sequence.
GUGUCAUGGUCAUUGUCGACCGUUCAUAAAAUCCCUGCAAUUGCUUUGCAGCUUAUGCGGGGUUUCUACGACGGUCAACAAAGACCUUUGACAU